UAGGGAAUCUUCCACAAUGGACGAAAGUCUGAUGGAGCAAAGCCGCGUGAGUGAAGAAGGGUUUCGGCUCGUAAAACUCUGUUGUUAAAGAAGAACAUAUCUGAGAGUAACUGUUCAGGUAUUGACGGUAUUUAACCAGAAAGCCACGGCUAACUACGUGCCAG
rnacentral:rRNA from 1 species